rnacentral:lncRNA from 1 species
AUGACCUUGCUGUCUGUGUUCACAGAGGGGGCAGAGACGAGCGUGGAGAAGACUGGGAAGAAGAUUGUACCAACUACAAACCCUGCCCCCACCCCGAUCCCCGCGAGGGGGACGAAUUCUGAAAGAAGCUGGGAGUCUGCAUCCGUCCAGCCUUCUGGGAGCUCCGAAUCCUUCCACAGCCACUCGCUGCUGUCCCCCAGCCUUUGUAGCUUUGAAAUCCAUCGGACAUUUCAGUUCACCCACUCAUUCAUUAACCAAGGCAUGCACCUCCUGAAGGCCAAACACAGUGUUAAACAGGAAGAACCCUGGCUUUCUGGAGCAACGGAAGCACCUUAUCUGUUGCCCUAAAGCAACCCCAGCCCGCCCCCGGCUCUCCAUCCCUCCCGAUGCUGCGUCUCCUCCGCUUGGGUCAGUUACACCUUGAACGUCAUGAUCUCCUCAAAGCCUUCGCCGACACCAGCUAGUGUUUAUGGGCAGCCGAGCCGUGAUCUGGGUGCUGAGAGCAGCAAAUCUCACACUGCGGGGGCCCGGGGACUCUGGCGGGGGCCCGAAGAGAACGUGUCUCUUCUAUGCGAGUCUUGCCUGUGACCCCCAACAGCACUGCUUUGUACCACCUCUUACCCUUCCUGCCAGUGUCAUCAUUCCAGGGACACCCAGGCCCAGAACAUGGGGUGAGCAGCCCCCCACACUCCAGAGGGGGAUCCUCCCCCUCUUCAAGUCCAUGCCCAAGCUUGGACGUGCCCCAGGUGGGAAGGGGCCCAAGUCAUUUCUCGUGGGGUAAAGGGAAAUAGGAAACCAGUAAUUCUUUGUGUUCAUGUUUUGUCCACAUUCAUUAUGUCCUUUGACUGUGGCUCACCGCGACCAUGACUGUGUGUAAUUAUCUUCCUGUUACAGAUGUGGAAACUGAGGCCAGGAGAAUAACUAACUGGCUGAAGGUCACACAGCCAGUAAAGGGUCGAUCCAGGGCUAGACGCGUAUGUUGCAGGUGAACCUGACCUUUGUGCUACCCAGUGGCUCAGCCUACCCCAGGGCAUCCUUCACCCACUGACCUGUCAGCCCGUCCUCACUCACCAUAUGGGACACAAGGGGCCUUAGGACCCAGGGCUUUCCCUCAAGGUACUUGAGCUGAGUAUUGUCAGUGGGCAGAACGCCAGCGCUCAGGGCUGUCUUCCCCUCCCCUGCCGUCCAUGGAGCCCCCGCCUCCCUCACCUCACACAGCGCCAACUCACUCCCGGUAAAUGCAGUGUUUUUCCAUUCCAGUGAGCUCAGCCCUUACUUUGAUUUGGGUGCAGGCAGCUGCAGGUGCCUCAAGUUAUCAUGUGCUCUCUCCCCGCAAUGUCAUCCGUGUUUACUUGCCGCUCUGGACUUUCGAUUCUGUCAGGAUGCCAGUCGGCUGGGCCGCCAGGCACCACAGCUGACAGUCAAAUCUGUGAUGCCGAAUCCUUCUUCUGGAAAAAAGGGCUAAAGAGGUUAAUACACUCAAGUCAGGAUAAACACACCAGCUGUUAGAGUUUCUAAUAUUUAAUAUCAUUAUCAAAUAAAUAACUCAAGAAGAAAUACA